rnacentral:lncRNA from 10 species
AGAUGGCUUUGUCUUAAAGACAUGAGCUAAAUUAAAUACACAUCUUUUUAAUAAUAACUUUAGAAUUUUUAGGCAUAAAAGUCUUGCUGCUCUGCUGUAUUAAAUCUUCCUGCAGGCAUGGUCAAUUUGCUCUGUAAUGCUUAUACUAGGGAGGUCCCUCACUAGCCGCCAGGCUGUGAACCUUCGAAUAUUCAAAGUAGCCUCUGGGCUGGGUGGGUGUGGUGGCUCAAGCCCGUAAUCCCAGCACUGUGGGAGGCUGAGGCAGGUGGUUUACUUGAGGUCAGGAGUUCGAGACCAGCCUGGCCAACA